GGGGGGGGACACCCUGCCUGGGCCUCAGAUUCCAGCGCUGCCACUCAGUGCAGGCCACAGUCUUUCUGUGCCCUAGACUGUCGCUAUAUUAUCAAGACCUACCUUAGAGGGUACUUGUGACUAUUUUGAGUAUUUUUGACGUAGUCUCACGGAUCCCACGUGGAGCUGGACUUCACUGUGUAGCUGUGAAAUGACCUUGAUCCUUUGCCAACACUUCCAAAAAGAAAGGAUUCAUGACCUUCGUGCUGGUCUCAAAUUUGGUACGCAACAAAAGAUAGCCUUGAACUCUAUUUCAGAGGAUCUCACAGUGUAACCCUGAACUCCAGGUGAGCCUCUCACCUCAACUCUGGGAUUGUUGGAGUACCAACAUGGCUACUCUUAACUCAAGACUGGCAAAAGCAGUGUGCAAGGGGUGUGUGCCAUAAGGACUGGUCUAAGAGACCUGAGUGAGUUGCUCUGAAGUGUUGAUCGUCACGGUAAGAGCAGCAGCUCAAGACUAGUGAACUGCCAUUUGAAAUAAAAGACGUAACUUGCCAGAGGAUGAGGUCCACCAUGACCUCCAAGUGAUUUUCAUUACCACUAAUGACCCGGAAGCUCCCCUUCCAGCCAGCACUUGGGCACAAAGGGUGGGGCUCAGUCUCCUUUCAUUGUGGUUUGUACCUGUGCCAAUGAGAGCAACCAACCUUACCAGAGGCAUCCCAGACAAAGGUCGUGUUCUUCUUUGAGACCAUAAACUUUCUCAGCUACAGCUUAUUCAGCAUCUGCUGACUUCUCCCUACUGAACUAUUAUGUAACUUUU